UACGUAGGGUGCGAGCGUUGUCCGGAAUUAUUGGGCGUAAAGAGCUCGUAGGCGGUUUGUUGCGUCUAUCGAGAAAACCUGCAGCUUAACUGUGGGCUUGCGGUGGAUACGGGCAGACUUGAGUUCGGUAGGGGAGACUGGAAUUCCUGGUGUAGCGGUGAAAUGCGCAGAUAUCAGGAGGAACACCGGUGGCGAAGGCGGGUCUCUGGGCCGAUACUGACGCUGAGGAGCGAAAGCGUGGGGAGCGAACAGG
rnacentral:rRNA from 1 species